UCAAUAAAACAAGUGAGGAUAAAUAACAAACUUAACAUAAUUAAGGAUUUAUGGCAAGAUGGUAGUGAAAUGUAGUUUAAAGAUUAGAUUUGUAAUUAGCAACUAAGUGAAGGGGGUAAAGUGCAAAGUGGUUAAACUUAAAUUAGUUAAAAAAAAAACAAACUAAACCCCAAACACAGUGAGUGUGUCUGGGGGAACGAUCGAACAAGGAAGGAGGAGGGGGAAACCCUAAACUCAAGAAAUCAAGCAAUUGAAGCCUAAAAUCAUAAGAAAAUCCAGUGCAUGAGCCAUCUUAUCGAUCAUCUAAGCAUACCUAGUGAAGUGCUUGAAAGAAUAAGAACCAUGUCAAGAUGGACCAACUCAUGGGAAGCAAACGGGUCAAAGAGGAGGCAAAGAAACUAGCAUAAACAUGACGAGCACGAGGUAAAUCCUCAAUUCAGGCGACUUGGAGAAUCGGA
rnacentral:lncRNA from 1 species